CGUGGGUAACCUGCCUGUAAGACUGGGAUAACUCCGGGAAACCGGGGCUAAUACCGGAUGCUUGUUUGAACCGCAUGGUUCAAACAUAAAAGGUGGCUUCGGCUACCACUUACAGAUGGACCCGCGGCGCAUUAGCUAGUUGGUGAGGUAACGGCUCACCAAGGCAACGAUGCGUAGCCGACCUGAGAGGGUGAUCGGCCACACUGGGACUGAGACACGGCCCAGACUCCUACGGGAGGCAGCAGUAGGGAAUCUUCCGCAAUGGACGAAAGUCUGACGGAGCAACGCCGCGUGAGUGAUGAAGGUUUUCGGAUCGUAAAGCUCUGUUGUUAGGGAAGAACAAGUACCGUUCGAAUAGGGCGGUACCUUGACGGUACCUAACCAGAAAGCCACGGCUAACUACGUGCCAGCAGCCGCGGUAAUACGUAGGUGGCAAGCGUUGUCCGGAAUUAUUGGGCGUAAAGGGCUCGCAGGCGGUUUCUUAAGUCUGAUGUGAAAGCCCCCGGCUCAACCGGGGAGGGUCAUUGGAAACUGGGGAACUUGAGUGCAGAAGAGGAGAGUGGAAUUCCACGUGUAGCGGUGAAAUGCGUAGAGAUGUGGAGGAACACCAGUGGC
rnacentral:rRNA from 2 species